rnacentral:rRNA from 1 species
AUUGAACGCUGGCGGCAGGCCUAACACAUGCAAGUCGAACGAGCGGCGGACGGGUGAGUAAUGUCUGGGAAACUGCCUGAUGGAGGGGGAUAACUACUGGAAACGGUAGCUAAUACCGCAUACCAUCCGAUGAGCCCAUAGGGGAUUAGCUAGUAGGUGGGGUAAAGGCUCACCUAGGCGACGCUCCCUAGCUGGUCUGAGAGGAGGAUCAGCCACACUGGGACUGAGACACGGCCCAGACUCCUACGGGAGGCAGCAGUGGGGAAUAUUGCACAAUGGGCGCAAGCCUGAUACAGCCAUGCCGCGUGUAUGAAGAAGGCCUUCGGGUUGUAAAGUACUUUCAGCCGGGAGGCGUUACCGGCAGAAGAAGCACCGGCUAACUCCGUGCCAGCAGCCGCGGUAAUAC